rnacentral:lncRNA from 7 species
AGAAGCCCACAGCUCUGCCUGCGUGUGGGGGUCUGAGGAGACCGCAUAGCACUGAGCCCUCAGGCUGGGCGGAGGACAACAGCACCAUGACAAAUGGGGCACCAGACCAGAGCCCGCCCUGCGGCAGCCCGGCCCUCCUGUCCCUCGCACUGGGGCUGGCUGCGUUCCUCCUGCGGCUGUGCUGAGCUGGGCCCGAAGACCCCUGCAGGCCGGCAUCCCCCUGCUCCGGAUCUCCGCCGCCAGGCCCAGCCAGCUCCUGUCCCCGUGUUCCCGCAGCGCUUCCCUAUGGCCGCAGCCUCCAGGAGGACCAACUCCAAGCACAGCCUCCGCAGUUGUGCUGUGAAGCUCUGAGAAAUAAAGUACGAGGCU